CAUACCCUACGGGACGCAGCAGUGAGGAAUAUUGGUCAAUGGGCGGGAGCCUGAACUAGCCAAGUCGCGUGAGGGAAGACGGUCCUAUGGAUUGUAAACCUCUUUAGGCGGGGAGCAAUGCCGGGCACGUGUGCCCGGAGGGAGAGUACCCGCAGAAUAAGCAUCGGCCAACUCCGUGCCAGCAGCCGCGGUAAUACGGAGGAUGUGAGCGUUAUCCGGAUUUAUUGGGUUUAAAGGGUGCGUAGGCGGAUUUUUAAGUCAGCGGUAAAAUGUCCGGGCUCAACCCGGGCCGGCCGUUGAAACUG
rnacentral:rRNA from 1 species